AAAAGAUGUCACUUGCUGUGAGAAAAUAGCUGGCUUUCACUCGCUACUUUUAGUAAUUUUAUUUAACGUUUAUUAAGAAAAUUGCAAUGAUGCAAGUAGGGUUCAUUGAAUUACUAAGAUAAAAAUUUUACAAUUAAUUUCAACGAUACAACGUAAAAACUACGCGGUGAAAAAAAAGGAAGAGACCGACCAAGUCGCCUGGAUCAAACUGACCAGGACAACCCUUGGAAAUCAGAGUAGCUAUGUCUGUAGGCCUUCUAACUGGACAAUGAAUGAACGACGAAGUCGGGCAGAAACACCAAGAAACAAGCGUCGUUAUUAUAAGAUGCACACUUGCUAAUUUAUUUAUCCAUAAUGUCUAUCAGUAUAACGCAUUUUCAAAUUCGACCG